rnacentral:rRNA from 1 species
UACGUAGGUGGCAAGCGUUAUCCGGAAUUAUUGGGCGUAAAGAGCGCGCAGGUGGUUGAUUAAGUCUGAUGUGAAAGCCCACGGCUCAACCGUGGAAGGUCAUUGGAAACUGGGGAACUUGAGCGCAGAAGAGGAGAGUGGAAUUCCAUGUGUAGCGGUGAAAUGCGUAGAUAUAUGGAGGAACACCAGUGGCGAAGGCGACUCUCUGGUCUGUAACUGACGCUGAGGCUCGAAAGCGUGGGGAGCAAACAGGAUUAGA